UACAGAGGUGCCAAGCGUUAGGCGGAAUCACUGGGCUUAAAGCGCGUGUAGGUGGGUCGUUAAGUGUCCGCGUGAAAUCCCACGGCUCAACCGUGGAACUGCCGGGCAUACUGGCGAUCUUGAGGCAUUCAGGGGCGAGCGGAACAAAUGGUGGAGCGGUGAAAUGCGUAGAUAUCAUUUGGAACGCCAAUGGUGAAAACAGCUCGCUGGGGAUGAUCUGACACUGAGACGCGAAAGCCAGGGGAGCGAACGGG
rnacentral:rRNA from 1 species